rnacentral:rRNA from 1 species
GAUGAACGCUAGCGGCAGGCCUAAUACAUGCAAGUCGGACGGGAUUUGGGAGCUUGCUCCUAAUGAGAGUGGCGCACGGGUGCGUAACACGUAUGUAACCUACCUUAGUCAGGGGGAUAGCCUCUCGAAAGAGAGAUUAAGACCGCAUAACAUUAUUGAGUGGCAUCAUUUAAUAAUCAAAUAUUUAUAGGACUAAGAUGGGCAUGCGGAACAUUAGCUAGUUGGUAAGUUAACGGCCUACCAAGGCAACGAUGUUUAGGGGAUCUGAGAGGAUGGCCCCCCACACUGGUACUGAGACACGGACCAGACUCCUACGGGAGGCAGCAGUAAGGAAUAUUGGUCAAUGGGCGGAAGCCUGAACCAGCCAUGCCGCGUGCAGGAAGACGGCCCUACGGGUUGUAAACUGCUUUUAUACGGGAAUAAACCUACUUACGUGUAAGUAGCUGAAUGUACUGUAAGAAUAAGGAUCGGCUAACUCCGUGCCAGCCGCCGCGGUAA